UUCAUUGUUAUACCAAAUUGCACAUACAGCAUGAUAAUAAAGUACUCCAGAUAGAUCCCACCUCCUACAUGUGCAUGUCAUUUCUUGUUUGUCAACUACAAACUGUCCCCUUGGGCCAACCACUUGAAACCUCUCACCUCUAGACCACUCUGUUGUAAAUAUCCAGCAAAAUUCUUUGGACUUUUCUAGAUUUUUCAAGAUCUUAGGGUAGUAAGCAUAUGCCACUCUUUUCAUAACAUCCCUAUUCUUAUGUAUCCUUUUCAUUAAUUUCAUUCUUAUAACCUCAUUCAUAACUAUCACACCCUUGGUUCUAGCAUCUAAGAUAAAAUUGUUAAAACACUCACAGAAUUGUUUAACAACAUGUCACACUUAGCAUCAGUCCUAAAAUGAGAUCUAGACCAGUGAUGAGGGGGGAUGCUAUUCAUGUAGUUAUGUCCUUGAUCU
rnacentral:lncRNA from 1 species